rnacentral:rRNA from 1 species
CCUACGGGCGGCAGCAGUGAGGAAUAUUGGUCAAUGGCCGGAAGGCUGAACCAGCCAUGCCGCGUGAAGGUCAGUGCCCUAUGGGCGUUAAACUUCUUUUGUGCGGGAGCAAUAAUGGUCACGUGUGGCCAGACGAGAGUACCGUACGAAUAAGCAUCGGCUCAAUCCGUGCCAGCAGCCGCGGUAAUACGGGGGAUGCAAGCGUUAUCCGGAUUUAUUGGGUUUAAAGGGUGCGUAGGCUGUGAGGUAAGUCAGCGGUGAAAUGCCCCCGCUCAACGGGGUGAAGUGCCAUUGAUACUGGCUUGCUGGAAUGCGGAUGCCGGGGGAGGAAUGUGUGGUGUAGCGGUGAAAUGCAUAGAUAUCACACAGAACACCGAAUGCGAAGGCAUCUCACG